rnacentral:rRNA from 1 species
AUUGAACGCUGGCGGCAUGCCUUACACAUGCAAGUCGAACGGUAACAGGUCUUCGGAUGCUGACGAGUGGCGAACGGGUGAGUAAUACAUCGGAACGUGCCCGAGAGUGGGGGAUAACGAGGCGAAAGCUUUGCUAAUACCGCAUACGAUCCCAGGAUGAAAGCAGGGGACCGCAAGGCCUUGCGCUCACGGAGCGGCCGAUGGCAGAUUAGGUAGUUGGUGGGAUAAAAGCUUACCAAGCCGACGAUCUGUAGCUGGUCUGAGAGGACGACCAGCCACACUGGGACUGAGACACGGCCCAGACUCCUACGGGAGGCAGCAGUGGGGAAUUUUGGACAAUGGGCGCAAGCCUGAUCCAGCCAUGCCGCGUGCAGGAUGAAGGCCUUCGGGUUGUAAACUGCUUUUGUACGGAACGAAAAGACUCUGGUUAAUACCUGGGGUCCAUGACGGUACCGUAAGAAUAAGCACCGGCUACUACGUGCCAGCCGCCGCGGUAAAAC